AUGUUCGUGGGGGACUCGCUGAACCGGAACCAGUGGGAGUCGAUGGUGUCCCUGGUGUCGUCGGUGAUCCCCGCGCGGGAGCAGAGGUCGCUGGCCAAGUUCGUGGGGCCCAAUGGGUCACUAAACGUGUUCAGGGCGACGGAGUACAACGCGACGGUGGAGUUCUACUGGGCGCCGUUCCUGGUGAGCUCCAACUCGGAUGACCCGCAGGUGCACAACGUGGCGGACGGGAAGAAUCCGAGGGCGAUGACGGACAAGUACACGCUGGUGGACCGGCCGGUGGCGUACAAGGAGGUGCUCAAGAUGUGGGCCAAGUGGGUGGACCGGCACGUCGACCCCGGCCGGACCAAGGUCUUCUUCAUGGGCAUGUCGCCCAACCAUGGCGUGUAA
rnacentral:rRNA from 1 species